rnacentral:rRNA from 1 species
CAAGCGGAUCUCUUAAAGCUGUUCUCAGUUCGGACUGCAGUCUGCAACUCGACUGCACGAAGCUGGAUUCGCUAGUAAUCGCGGAUCAGCACGCCGCGGUGAAUACGUUCCCGGGCCUUGUACACACCGCCCGUCACACCAUGGAAGUCUGCAAUGCCCGAAGCCGGUGGCCUAACCACUUAUGUGGAAGGAGCCGUCUAAGGCAGGGCAGAUGACUGGGGUGAAGUCGUAACAAGGUACC